UCCGUUAUGGUGUAGUGGCUAGCAUCGGCCGCUCUCACCGGCCAGACCGGGGGGUUCAAUUCCCCGUAACGGAA
rnacentral:tRNA from 1 species